AUUGAACGCUGGCGGCAUGCCUUACACAUGCAAGUCGAACGCGAAAGGGGGCAACCCCGAGUAGAGUGGCGAACGGGUGAGCAAUACAUCGGAACACGUCCUGUAGCGGGGGACAACCCCGAGAAAUCGGGGCUAAUACCGCAUACGAUCCAAGGAUGAAAGUGGGGGACCGCAAGGCCCCACACUAUAGGAGUGGCCGAUGCCGGAUUAGCUAGUUGGCGGGGUAAAANCCCACCAAGGCGACGAUCCGUAGCUGGUUUGAGAGAACGACCAGCCACACUGGGACUGAGACACGGCCCAGACUCCUACGGGAGGCAGCAGUGGGGAAUUUUGGACAAUGGGCGAAAGCCUGAUCCAGCCAUGCCGCGUGAGUGAAGAAGGCCUCGGUUGUAA
rnacentral:rRNA from 1 species